rnacentral:misc_RNA from 1 species
AUACCCUAUGCAGACACUUUAAAUUGAGCAGCCAAAUAUAAUCAGAUUUUGUCCGUUUCCAAACGAGCAGCAAUUUCUCAUAGUGCAACCUGCUCAAAUCCCAACCCAACCAAACAACAACACAGAAGAGGAGAACAUGAUCAAAGACAGAUGGGAAGGGCAUUAGUUUAUUUUGUGUAUUUAUUCUCGGAAUGCGUGACAUCUUAGCCGCGACACUUGAAGCGUUCGUUGCUAGUGAGGCUAGGCUGGUGUGUGUUUUCGACUGAUCGUGUCCGAACAAGGACGUCUGAAACUUGAAGGGAAUGGCCAACGCCAGAGCUACGACCUUUAACAACGUUUGGAACUUCCUUGGAGGCAGUCUGGGUCUUCAGGGGCAUGAAAAGGCUCUCAAAAAUGCCCUCUACAAUGCCCUGGCUAUGCUCUUACUGGUUGUCUGCUGUGCAGCCUUCUAUGCAUUGGUGUUCGUUCUGGACCCAUUCCUCAAACCUCUUCUGUGGGCUCUUCUCUUGGGCUCCGUCUUACAUCCUUUCAAAUACUCCCUGGUUUAUUCUGUCAAAAACUGGAUUGAUGUCCUGGAAACAAGAGGUACCCCUAUCGCUGUUGCAUUUGUCAUGAUACCUGUCAGCGCCUUUGAUCGCUUCUCCGACCGAAUUGGAGACCUGAUUUACAAGAACCUUCGAAUCAUCUUCUACCUAAGUGCAGCAUUGCCUCUCAUGCUGAUCUUGUAUGGGUACACUCCGCAAAGUUGCCUGUGUGUGCUGUGGAGAAUGGCAUAUGCUUUUUAUGCUCUUGUUAACUUUCUUGUUGGCCUUUCAACUGGCCCUGUGGUGGUGACAUACUUGUGUGGGUACUUCACUACACUAGCACUUUGGUGGAAUCCAGAUGUAUCUUAUCGUUUUUCUGCUGGAGGCUACGUAAUGUGGUGUCUUAUAGCUGGCUAUUUUGCCCGCUUUGUUGGAUCGUCUUACCAAGUUUUCGCUUUUGCUUUACUUCAGUCAGUCUAUUUGUUUGGAUAUUUUUAUGAGAGGUGGUCCGCAAGUGACAGCUACAAAGUUUCAAAAGAACGACAUUUGUCCUUAGUUGAAGCGCUGAUGAAGAGCGCCACAAGCAGCGAACAGUCAUCGGACAUAGUGAUGCCAACUCAGUCACUCCCUGUUAUACCGCGAGAAAUAGAUGCAAAUGAUUCCACUGGAUCAGAUCCCACUUCUAAGGAGCAGCCAAAAAUUACUGAUGCAGAUUCAAGCCGCAAUGCUACAGAGCGAGAUUUACAAAAUACCUCGUUAUCUGAGGUUGACGGAUCUCUUAAGCCAAGAGCACCUAGAGAGUUGGACAGUCACUUGAGAGCACAGGCUGUCAGUGCUGUUCGGCCAACAAGCCUGAGGGCUCCACCUCCGGAAAGUGAUAGAAUAACCAGUGAGAAGUGCCUGUAUGUGUUGGGUUGGACUUGUCUGGCGGUUUUCAUUUGGAACCACAUGUGGCUUCUUCAUUUCCUACCUGUCACUAUAAUUGUGUACCUGAUAAAAAAUCUAGGACAUUAUUUUGGUGUAUGGAAGUGGAUGAGUGCAAACUUUGAGAUUCUUCUGUCGUCCUUGAGUCAGUGGAGUGCAGUCAGGAAAGAAGCACUCUGUCCACCAUUUGUUGCAGGCCUUAUGAAAAUUCAAAUUUCUCUUCGGCAACAAAUUCUUCAUUCCCUGCGGGACUCGGUGGAUUCGGCUGCCAGUGUGCUUGUCAUUUUGGCUUUGCUCGUCUUCCUUCUCAGCACAACCAUCUUCAUUACAGUCAAUGUGUAUGCAGAAGGUAUCCACCUGGUUCAUGUAGCUGGUAAUGCUAUUAACAACACUCUGAGCAAUAACCAAGAAAUCUUGGCCUUGCUUCCUGAGGGAGUUCAGGAAAAGCUGCAUCUUGUAUUGGACAAUGCUUAUUUAUAUGGCCGUCAAAGUAUAUCCAGUAUGGUACAUGCAAUGCUGAAAAAUGCAGAUGCCGACAAAGCUGACCUUCUGGAACAGAGAGUCCUUGAGUUGUGGGAUCGCAUUUACCAAGCGUGGAUGAUGACAUCAACUGAUGUUCCAGGUGCGAUGGGGCCUAGAGUGUCCUCAAGUGCAGUGUACGCAAGUUGGGAGAGCUUUCUGGAUGGUGUAAUGAAAACUCCAGAAUUACUGAACCUUGAUGGGCUAAUGCAGUUUGGAAAGGAGAAUGUUGGCAUGCUUUCAUCUCUUCUUGAGUCACUCUGGGACAUUUUAAAAGGAAAUGUAAGCCUUCUCUUCCAGUCAUCGGUGACAAUAUUUUCUGUUGUUCUUGGAGGAGGCUCAGCUGUAAUUAACUUUAUAAUCAAUUCAGUUGUUUUCUUUACUGCAUUGUUUUAUCUGCUAAGUUCAAGUGGAAGCUUGUAUCGCCCUGUCGAACUUGUUGCAAGUGUUAGCCCAAGCAGUGGAAAUCAGAUUGCCACUGCAAUAGAUGGAGCAGUGGGUGAUGUCUUUCGUGCUUCCUUCAAGAUGGCAGUGUUCCAUGGCCUGUGGGCCUGGUUAAUUCACACACUUUUUGGAGUUAAAGUGGUUUAUUUACCAUCAGUACUUGCCUCCAUACUGGGGGUUGUGCCAUUCCUUGGAACCUACUGGGCUUGCAUUCCAGCUGUUUUAGAAUUAUGGCUUGCUCAGGGACAGUCCAUGCUUGCAGUGUCCAUGAUUCUUGCAUUUUACAUUCCAACUUCAUGGGUUAAUGGCCUGGUCUAUGAAGAAAUAAAAGGGGGUCACCCAUACCUUACUGGCUUAUCUGUGGCUGGAGGGGUAUACUGUAUGGGUAGUGAAGGAGCAAUAUUUGGUCCUUUGUUACUUUGCUGUGUGUUUGUUGCGUUAAAUAUUUCUUCAACACUGAUGAAGGAGCCUUCACUCUCUCAUAUGAACCCUCUCAACAUGAUAAGGUUAAACUUUGACCGCAAUUGUUCAUCAACAUGAGGGUUCCGCAUCUUUCUUCUAUCUACAACCUGUUCAGAAAUUCAUAAACCAAACAGAAUACUUUGGCAGUGUGCAUUCUUGACUUGCUUAUGACAUAUUUCUUUUCAACUGAAUAAUUCAGUUGAAAUAGCCUGGCUGUGGAAAACCUAAUUACUGCGGCCCUCCACCCCUGCGUCGCCGGGACACUUUGCUGUGAGCCUAAUAGGGCAAAUGUGCUUAAGCUGAUGCGGACUCUCUAGUCAUACCGAACUUGCAUCCUACUAUUAUGCUUCUCUAGUCAUUUUGGGUACUGCACGGAAAAAAAUAUUGGGGUUCAGAAGUUGAAGUCAAAUUGUACUAACAAUUCUAGUGUUCAUGACAUAAAAAUUUAGUUAAGUGCCUCUUCAGUAAGUGCUAGGGUUCUUCUUGAAUCUCAUUUUUAGAAUCGUAACAACUAAUCUGCUCAUGUGUCCAUUAGCAUAGUUUGGUUUUGUUCAUCCUCUCUUUUUUUCAAUCUACCUCUUCCACUAGUUCUAUCAUCUUUCCAUUUUUCUCUUCUAUGUGGAAACACAAACUACAUUCCUUCAGGCAAUAACAUUACCUCAAAGGAUUUUCUUCUUGCUAUUCCAUUUCUAUCAAACUCCACACACUUCCAUGGGACCACAAAGAAGGUGUUUCAUUUGACUCUCAGUGUUAUUUUUGUUUUAGUUUUUGUAAAACAAUAAUUAUCAAUUUUCUAUGUUGAAGAACAUGUUAAAAAUAGGGUAUUCUUUGUACUUUUGUAUCUACGGUAAUAGGAAUAGAGAUGUAGAAGGCGCUACAGACUGUUUCAUCGGGUAAUUUAUUUAACUUAUGAUUAUAAAAUUAAUGAUCUAAUGAGUUACUUAAUUUUUAAAAAUUGCUUUUGUAUCAAGCUAAUAAAUCUGUGAUUGCCUUUUA